UUUGAGUGCAGUGUUAGACACAUUAGGGUUGGAAGAAGCGAACAGAAGCGGGACUGAGGUCUGGCCAUGUGAAAGGUGUCUCGGCAAGCCAGUGGCUUUGGCAAAGUAGCGUUGGCAAGGAGAAAGAAGCUUAGCUGUGCUGGACUGUCUCAGACACUGGUAAAUAUACGCAUGCAAAUUGUGGGCCUGUGUUAACGGUUCAGAGUUCCCUUCCCCGGAAAGUCCACUACCAGGUUUCGUCUCCUCCUUUCCCUAUGUCAUCAGCCACCUACCCAGGGCUAGCAGGGCUGUCAGUACCCACUACACACUGUGCCUCUGUGAAACUUGCUCUCCUGGGGAUAGAGUGAAGACAGGUCGGAGAGGUGCGCGACCCCGAACUAGUUGCCGGCAGCACAGCGCGGAACCAUAUUAAAUGCCUGCAUGGGCACUUGAAUCUCUGCCUGCAUCCAGACCCAGAGACUAACUAACCAUUUCCUGUGGAGCUGCAAAGAGCUGCUGACUCAGUGCCCUCUCAGGGCCCACGUGGCCUUGCAUGACUGAAGUAUCCUGACAGUGACAGCGCUUUCUCAUACAGGCCGCUCAGUCACUGGGCUCACAAGCUUUGUCUGGCCUCAAGCCUGUGGCCUACUGUGCGACGCUUCCCUGGCCCUUUCUACGGAGCUCCCAUCCACCUCCACAGUGGUUGUUUUUGGUCUUGAUGAUUAUCACAGCAGCAGGAAGCAGACUAGGCGACCUCGGAGUGCUCUUCUGCGUGGAAGGUACUUGUGAACCAGAGCUGAGCCCUGGUUGGCCUAGUUCCCGGAAUGGCGAAAGGACUGCACAUGCAGGAGCGAGAGUCCCAGGACACUUUGAUGUCUCUGGCUUGUGGCAGGAGGCCCUGGUUGAGCAAUUAACUCCAAGAAAAGAAUAAACAGAUGUGCAUGUAACCAGGGCUGACCAUUGCAGACUGGCCACAUUGGCAAGCUGGUGACUGUGCUCUGGAGGUGUCUGAAGCCAUCCCCAGGAAACCUUGAACUAGGAUAGCCUCCCUCUCGGCUGUCCUUUAAGAGAUUCGGAGGGGUUAUUACCUCGACCUUUUGACCAAGAGAAAGGGCUCAUUUCUGGCCAGAAUCAGUCUAAGAUUUCACAUUGCUCAACUGUCGGGGGACUCCCGCCUGGGCGCUCACACUCCACUAAUAGCAGAACGAGUGAUUUCUAAGGCAUGCACGAUCCACCGAUCAGUCAUCACCUGGGAAGAAGAAACCUCUACGGAAGAAUUCCCAGAUCAGAUCGGCCUAUGACCAUGUCUGAGAAAAGGUCCCAGCCCACUGUGGGAGGCACUGUUGUUCCUAGGCAAGCCUGGGGUUGUUUAACAAAGAGAGUGAGCCAGCCAGGGGGAGCAAGCCAAGAAGCAGGGCUCUUCUGUUGUCUCUGCUUCCAUUCCUGUCUCAGGUCUCUGCCCUGAUUUCCCAUCAUGUUGAGCUGUUUUCUGGAACUGCGAGAUGAAAUCGACCUUUUCUCCUCGUGUGGUCUAUGGUUAAGGCAUUUGAUCGCAGCAACGGUGCUACAUUAACCUCCUAGGUAUUUCUCAGUCAAAUCAGUUUCACAGUUAAGAUAAACCAAAUCAUACUAUCCUUGCCAAACUAGGGGAGAGCCGGCACAACAGGAAUGAGCGCGGCCAGCCUGCUUUGUCCCCCCCACGUGCAAUAGGUACCCCGCAAAUGCUGUGCUCCUAGGCGACCUCCUCCAAUUGGCUUCACUGGCCCGGCCCCCCUCGUACCCUUGAUCUGCAAGAGACUUCUACAGCCCAUCCCUUCCCAGGCAGGAGUGGCUCCUGCACAGAAAUAGCUAGGACAGGCUUCAGUCUUGCAGACAGGACUCAGUUUCUCAGGGGUGGUUGGUUGGUUACCCCAUGCAAACAGUAACCCAAGAGCAAGAGUCCAAGCCUGGGCUCUGUGCUUCCAGUGACCCACAGUUCCUCACUGCCUGACCUCACCCGUGGGAAGCACUCAUUGAACAAAUGCUGCAGAUGACUUCUGCUGGCAGUGGGCUUGGAGCUAUUUCUGAAGCAGCCAGUGUGGAGUGAGUGGCAGACAUCUGACCAUCGCUCUGACACCACAGAGUGGCCAGCCGGAGUCAGGAGUGGGCCUGAGCAUUUCCAAAUCAGCAACUGGGCCUUAUGAGAGAUGGCGUGGGUGUAAAGGGAAGCGGAGAAACAGAUGCACAAAGAGAACUGUGGUCCCCAGCCAGAGGGGGAGACGGAAAGUGGGUGCGGCCAGGCACGCUGGCGCUGAAAGGAGCCAGGAGGCAGGAACCAAACGCUGUCCUGGGCUAGAAGGACAAUACAAAGCAGGGCAGGGCCGAGGUGGGUGACCUCUCAGGUGCCCAGAAAUCCUACUUCCUUUCACGGGGCAUCUUAGCAUUCCUCAGGACAGACAAUGGAGGCUCCUGGCCAGGCAGCUUCAGAGAGCAGCGCGUGAACACACAGAAGGGAUGUCCCUCUCUGUGAAGCUGGACCAGGGCUGGGCGGUGACCCUAUCUUCUUGAGUGUGUGGGACAGCCCAGUCUAUAACCACACCCUGGGGACAAUGCGCACACAGUUCCAGGCAGAAGAGUGGGAGUUGACAUCGCGCGACUGCCCACUGUGGAUUCUGUGCCUGCUACUCAAAUGUGUACUUUGCUAGCAUGGUUUGUUCAACAAACAUUUACUGGAGGCCGACUAAGCACCAGGGAUGUAGCGAUGAGCAGUGUAAACAAGGCCCUCGGUCCUCUCAUUUAUUCUUCUCUUGCCUCAGUCCAUGGGGUCAGUGCUAGCGUUCCUGUCUUACAAACAAGGAAGCCAAACUGCAGAGAAAUUGAGGAGGCAGACCUGAGGAUUCCAACACAACCCUGGACAGUGGGUUUUUCCCUCUGGGAUUUGUUAACACCUCUCAGGUCCCAAGAGUCCACGGGUCCCAUCUGAAAUCCUGAAGCCACCAAAGUGUAAGAGUCGCUGUUUCUUGCCAUUUCUGGGGAGGUAUGGGGUGGCACAUAGCCUGGAGCCCAGCCUACCAACAAAGCCCUCACCUUCCAGGGUCCCAUGCUUCAGCCCAGGUCCAGGUGGAGAAGUUCAUUGCUCAUUUUCUACAGGCCUGUGUGUGAGCCUGAAGAGCUACACUGGGCAGUUCUCUGGGUCCUCGUUAAACGGCAGGUGCUCUUUGCAGCUGAGAAAGCCGAAACUAAAAAGACAUAGGAGUGGAGCUGUCUUAGUCAGGGUUUCUAUUGUUGUGUUGAGAGACACCAUGACCACGGCAACUCUUAUAAAGAACACAUUUAAUUGCAGUGGGUUGCUUAUAGUUUCAGAGGUUCCGUUCAUUAUCGUCAUGGCAGGGACUGUGUGCAAGCAGACGGGGUGCUUCAGUAGUAGCUGAGAGUCCUACAUCUUGCAGGCUACAGGAAGUCAACUGAGACACUGGGCAGUAUCCUGCACAUAGGAAACCUCCUAGCCUGCCCCCACAGUGACGCACUUCCUCCAACAAGGCCAUACCCACUCCAACAAAGUCACAUCUUUUUUAAAAAAUAUAUAUAUAUUUAUUUAUUCAUUCAUUUAUUAUUUAUACAGUGUUCUGUUUGCAUGUAUGCCUGCAGGCCAGAAGGGAACAACAGAUCUCAUUACAGAUGGUUGUGAGCCACCAUGUGGUUGCUGGGAAUUGAACUCAGGACCUCUGGAAGAGCAGCCAGUGCUCCUAACAGCAGAGCCAUCUCUCCAGCCCAAGUCACAUCUUCUAAUAGUGCCACUCCCUAUGAGCUUUUGGGAGCCAACCACAUUCAAACUACUACAGGAGCUCCGCCUUGCGUGAGUGGGUACCAGGCCUUAGUGUUCCCUCUUAGCCACCAUGCAAUAUGCCACUGUGUUCUGCUGCCUCACGGUCUCUGAAUUCCUGGUCUGCCUCAGGUUAUACAUCUAAAGCUUGCUGUCCAGCCAGGUCAGCAAUACUACCUUUUAGGGGUGUUCCCCUUAUUCUAGAGAGGUAAGGGGGGCUUUCUUCCCCAGCAUGAAGACUCUCAGUUGAUUGGAAGAAUAAGCAGGACCUGGGUUCUGGCAUUCAGGGCUCUCAGAUCCCCUGGUGGGUACAAGAGACCAUUCCAAAGCCUGAACAUCCCAGUAGCAAACCCCUAAGGGUGUCUGCUUCUCCCAGGUCCAUCCCUC